CCAAACACGUCUUUCUCUCUCUAGUCUCUACUUCCCAAAAUAUCUCAGAGUUUCUCUAUUUUUGACGUGCGAUUUCUGGCUCUUCGAAAGCCUUUCUUCAUCAAAUUCCAGAAAAUUGCUUCGAUUUUGAACUCAGGUAUUACUCGAUUAAAUUUCACUCGAUUUUGCUCAAAAUCUAAUUCGGCGACGCUAAAAUUUUCCCUUGGAUCUGCAUAAUUUAUCUCGAACUCAGAGUAGAAGAUUCUAUUGAGAUCUUGGAGUAUGUUGUCAAGUUGAGGGAAGAGAAACUAGGUACAGAAAAUGCUGAAUUUGAUGAUGAAAAGAGCAGGCUUGCCGAGCUAUUGAAAGAGCCGGUAAGAGCAGAAAUAGAAAAAAAAUCCCUCGAGAAUCUCAUUGAUCCAAAUUCUAAGAGAACAAAGAAAGAGACAACAAAUAGGUGGGGAGGGUUGGGUUUUAGGAUUUGAGGAAGAAGAAGCAGUUCCUCACAGAUUACAGCUGCUUCUGUUGUGUAAGAUAGUGUAUAGUUUCAGUGAUGUAAGCUUUGUGUGGCCUUUACUUGUUAAAGGUCUCAAUUUGUUCUCUUUAUUUAAUUUAUUUUGAAUUGAUUGCUGAAAGCGAUUUUUUUUUUC